rnacentral:misc_RNA from 1 species
AUGAUUUGACCCUGUUCUGGGUCUUCAUUCUUCGGCUGUGCGCCUUUCCCCGCUGCACGCCGUCGAACUUCACACACCAUGUGCACCUUUCGGUCGCGUUUCGGACGCUUCCGCUUUUUUACAUCCAACCACAAGUCUCGAAUGUCUUCUCAAUAACGAAAUAA